AACCACUGGUUUUGGAUUAAAUCCGGACUCCGAACCACUGGUUCUGACUUUCUUUUAUCAUUUUUCAAGAGGAUAUCCUUUUUGAAAAAGUUGUUGAAAUCUUGCCAACCUAAAUAAAGGAAUGGCGAUGUAUUGUUUGAAGUCAGGAGCCCGCCUGAAGAGAGGAAUGGCGAUUAUUUUCAAAGUUGUUGUCAGGAGCCCGCCUGAAGAGAGGAAAGGCAUUUUUAAAAGUUGUUGAAAUCUUGCCAACCUAAAGAAAGGAAUGGCGAUGUAUGAUUUGAAGUCAGGAGCCCUCCUGAAGAGAGGAAAGGCAUUUUUAAAAGUUGUUGAAAUCUUGCCAACCUAAAGAAAGGAAUGGCGAUGUAUUGUUUGAAGUCAGGAGCCCGCCUGAAGAGAGGAAUG
rnacentral:lncRNA from 1 species